CAUACAUAAACAUGGUAAAUAUCCCGUCUCAAGUUCUAAUGACUUAUGACAUAGGUACGACCUUUUUAGAAAAAAGAACACACAAGCACAGAUAAGUAAUAAAUAACAAAUACAUAUUUUUUUUAAAACAGUAUCUGGUACAAGACAGCACGAGACGAAUCCUUACACUACUUAUGAAAUAAAUAAAAUUGUAAAUUCUAAUAAAUUGAGUGCAAUCUAUCUAAGUUUAGCUAGGUUAGUGUGAAAGUUUAGUUCUUUGAACGUUAGACUUUUAAGUUAGUUUAACAGAAGAUAGAUUUUUUUAUUCAAUACACGUUGUUGGUGAAAAGAUAGGAUAUUGUUUAACCGACUUCACAAAGUCUUUCUUCAUUUUACCCUUUAACUAUUUCAAAUUUAUUUGAGCGCAUCUGGGACGCAUUUUUGCUUUACUUGUACUCUGUAUAACUUUGUCGGUCAGUCAUCAUCUCAUUGUAUUAGUUUUUCAUUUCAAAAAGGUAAUUUGCGAUUUGAGAAACACACUAAUAUGUAUUAUUAAUCAAUCAUGAUGAAACUACUGAACGGAUUUUUCUGAAAUUUGGUACCUAUAGAGAUAGGGUAUGAGUUGAUUUAGGUAAUAGGAUUUAGUUUUUAUCCCACAAAAUUGCUAGUUUUUUAAUAAAACUAAUCUCCAGUGGAUAAUUGUAUUCCUUCUUUUUUUAUUAAGACGUUAACCACCACGCCAGUCACUGGUGACCAACGCUUAGCGGAGGAUUUGCCUUCAACAGUUUUCUUUCGGCAAUUAAUGCUUAAACAGGACAAUCCGGGGGCAAUGCCCACCCCCAAGUCGAGCAGAAAAAAGCGGUACGGCCGUACCCUUUUCCCAAAGCCAUGGCCAAUUUCGACAGCCUAUAACUUCAUGGUGGAUAAAACAAGAAGCCUGAAUUUUCAGAUACUAAGCAGGCAUUGUACAAACAUGGUAUAUAUCAAAAUUAUAUUUUCUUUUCAUUACACCAUCUUUUCUUUUCAUUAACAACGUGUCAACAUAAUUAGAGUUUCCAAAAUCAGUGACUUAUCCUUACAGAGCUUUAGUUUUUAAUUAAUUCACUCUUACCCUUCUUAUAAAGAAAAGUCUUCUGAUUUUUAAUAGAUAACAAAUAUAGCUUUAUAUAGUAAUUAUAAAAUAGUUCUUUCAGAGGCAGGUUUAACAGGUAAUAGUAAUUUUUUGGUCUGUGCAAAAUUACUCUUUAAAUUUUUUUACGCGGUAAAUUCGUUUCGAGCGUUAUUUUUUAUGAGAGUAAUUUUGCAAAGGUGAUUUUUCGUGCAGGUACAUACAUUAUAAAGUUAAGAUAUAUUAUAAUACUAUAUUUCUUUAUUAUAUUAAAUAUAAGUAUUCUUUGUCCUAAUUAUAGUUUAGUAAGGAUUAGAUACCAAGAUUUAUUUUUAGUUGGAGUUUUUUUUGGCUUUGUCAAGUCUUUUGUUUAUAAUAUUGGUUAGAUUUUGAUUUGUGAUUGCAUUUAAGACUUUCACCAUGAGAUUCCAACUUAUUACUUUGGAAAUAUUGUAAUAGAUUUAUUUCUGAACGCUUACCCAGUCAUCAAAUCGUUUAUGAAAUUUCAAAAACAUAUAUGAGUAGCUUUAAAAGUGCCACGGUUUUAGUGGGAGGUAGUGUUGUGUUUAAAGAUUACAAUAGUAAAUAUAAAUUCAUGAGUCAUUUUUCUUUUAUACCUACAAUAAAUCCACUAGUCAGUUUGUUAUGAAAGAGUUAUCUCUUUCGAUGUGUCGACGCAAUGUGCGUAUUUGUGAAACACUUUAAGCAGAGUGGAGUCAAUGUUGUAAUCUUCAAACACAACACUACCUCCCAUUAAAGCCGUCGCGGAUAAUUUAAGAACACCUUAUAUAAGUAGCUAGACUGACUUAUUUAGACAUGUGGAUAAUGCCUAACUAACAUUUUAUUUCCUAUCUAUUUAAACGCGUUUUGUUUAGUGAUGGGAAACAUUUGCACGAUUUUAUCGAUAUUUAUUCAAGCUUAAGGGUCGAUUCAUAUCUGAUGUAAAAUAAGUCGAGCGUAUAAUCGGUCGUACUGACGUAUCAUCGGUUGAGUGUGAACGGUCAAUUGUUUUUCUAUACAUUUGUCUGUUCUGGCGUUACGCGACCGAUGAUACGCGACGCAUGUUCCGUCUGAUAUGAACCGAACCUAACAGAGAUGUCUGGGUAUCCCAAAUGGCAUUGCCAUUUAAAUUGUUUUUUUUUUUUAUACAUCUUUAGGUAUAUUUUAUACAUACAAUGUCUUUAGCAAUAAUUAUAAUCGAGAAAAAUGUAUACAAAUGUAACCCAUCGAAACUAAAGGCUUUGGAUCUGAAGCUAACUAAAUAUUAGUCUAAAUCAGUUUGUCUAGCUAAAACAUAGUAGAUAGGACGAAGUGAGGUUUAUUUCAGUAUUUAAUAAAUACAGAUACAUAGUUUACUAUUUGCAGAAGUAAAAAAAUAAAGAAAAAGAAUAUUAUUUUUAAAUUUAACUAUUAUUGGACAGAUUUUGGCACUUAAAAAGUAUAGUAGCGACCUCUAUGCAAAGGUCUGAAAGGAAGGAAGUAGUUUUACUUCUACAAAUAUUUAUUUUCGUAUAUAAUUUCUGUAACAUAAUAUUUUGAUUAUAAGUUUUAUAGGUAUGUAAAUAACGGUAAUAGAAUUUGGACUAUGUUUUAUGGAUAUAUUUUAUAUCUUCUCUAUAAUAUGUAUAUGGAUAAAUCAAUAAAUGCUCUCUAUACAUUCAACAGUGUUUAAUUUUUGAGGACGAGCGAAAAGAGUAAUUUUCGUUCAAUAUUUUUAUUACAUUUUAAGUUUCAUAGUUAUUUUUGGCACACAUUUAAGGCAAGCUGGCGAAAACCCUUCUAUUUUAAUCGGUAGUAAUCCGAAAUAGGUAUAGUGGCCAGCUCAGGUAAACCCUGUCCUUUCUUUCAAAUGAGAACUGAAGUUACUGAACGUAAAAUGAGAUAUUUACCAUGUUUAUUAGUUUUUGUGAGUUUCCGAUAUUUCGGCACUGUUGCAAACGGAUCACGGAUUACGGCACUUGAUGAUGAACUGUCAGUUUAUCCGUGAUCGUAAAUAUCCCAUUCAGUCUAAACACUUUUAAAAUGUUUACAGAUAGAGUAAAUUGAAUUACUGGCCACUGUACACUAUUAUAAACAAUUAUGCAAUUUUUCCCAACUGAAUACGAGUUUUCGGAUUGGCAGUGACACUUUUAAGAUUUCUUUUUAAAUGUUUAAUUAUUCUUUUCAUUCGUCCUCCCACAUUUAAUGUGCCCGACAAACCAGUGCGUCUAUAUACUGUAUAUUUAUGCUCUCUUCAUUAUAUUAUGUUAUUCUUAAUUGACGAUUAAAAUUUGGCAGUUAAUUAUGGAUUUAGAAUAUAUUAUAUUAUGUUGAAUUUCAGAUUUUUUUUAACUAUAUUUAUGAUUGAUUUUUAUACUACCUAUGGCUUAGAAUCCCGAUGACACUCUCAACUGUCAUUCCCUUUAAAUCUGACAUUUGUAAAUGUCAAACGUAAUGUCAUGUAUGAAAAUAUAAUUUUGACAGUUAAAAAUCAUAGAGGUUAUGUAUGAUCGAAAAGUGUAAUAUUUUUGAAAAAUAAUAAUUAAUUUAAGAUAUUUAUCAUAAAGGUACAUUUUGAUUUUAGAUAUUAUUUUUAAUUUAAUAUUUACAGGAAACACCAACCGUUUACUUGUCCAUCGAUACAAAUUCAUUCAAUUUCCUCCGGGAUUCACGAUAAAAUAUUCUAAUAUACUAUGUUAUAGUUAUGUAUAUCUCAUUUGUAACAGAAAUAUACAACUACAUACUAUGACAUAUAUAGUAUAGUGUAACAGCAACGAAUGUGUUAACUAUACAAGCGUAUAAUAUAUAUUUCUUUCUAAAAUAAUUAUGAUCACAAUACACAAUAGUCGACUUGUAUGCUGAGAUAAGGUGAAAAAUGAAAUAUCGAUACAUUUUGAAAUCUUUAUCGUACAUUUCCCAUCAUUAUAUAUUAUUUUGUGUGAGAUGGGCUCAUAAAAACUGAUAGUUAUACCAUUACUUUUGCUUAUAAUGCCAUAAUUGUUACAAUGGCAUACUUAGUAGAAAUAUAUUCCAAAUAAAUAAAAAAAUGAUCAAGGGAAAUCUUAGGUUUGGCACAACCCUUAAUAUAGUAUAAAUCUCUAUUAUGCAUAUUUUAAAAACUAUCUUGCAUACAACUCGACUUAAUCACAUCUGAAUGAGGAUUUUCGCGCCGCUAGAGGCGCUAGUGUAGCUUUAUGUCUAUCUGUCCGAUAUAAUAUUUAAUAAUAUCAGUCAACUUGUGACUAUAAGACUCUAUAUUACCUUAUAACUCACUAACGCCAUCUUUACAGCGCAAAAACGAAAAUCCUCAUCAAUUUAAUUAAUAAUUCGUACCAAAACAAACUUACUUUUUCAUUCAUAUUAAUAAAGCGUAUUUUUCAAAGGAUUCUCGGUCCUAAAAACACAUUAAAUAAUGGUUAUUGUUCCGUUUACUUGUAAACACCGUUAGAUUAAUAAACUCUCAGAAAAAAGUCCUUUGUGGGAUCCACAAAUUGUUGUUUCGGGUCUGGGUGUCAUGUGUAUGUGAACUUGUAUGUUUGUAAACGCACCCACGACACAGAAGAAAAUCCUAGUGUGGGGCAACGUUUUAUUAAAAAAUAGUUCAUAAUCCAGCAAUGUUUACAAUUAAACAGAGAACGGCUAUAAACUAGUUUUAUAUGGAGGCUAUGCUUAUGAGCGUAAACAUUUAAUUUCAUUUAAAACAAGGUACUGCCUCGUUGGCUGAGUGGUUGCAAGUGCGGCUGCCAGGCAAGGGGUCUCGGGUUCGAUUCCUGGGUCGGGCGAAGUAUUACUAGGCUUUUUUCGGUUUUUCGAAAAUUUCUUAGUAGUAGCACGGAGUCUGGAAAUGUGCCCGGUAUAUGGCAAUAGGCUCACCACCUAUUACAUGGGACUUACAACAUAAAUUGUGAAAAGUGGGUUGUACACAGUGGCAUUACGUGCCAUAAUGUGCACCUCUGCCUACCCCUUCGAGGAUUAAAGGCGUGACGAUAUGUAUGUAUGUAUGUAAAACAAGGUACUGUUAAGUCACCUGACAGAGUAGCAUACACAUUGCCACUAUUCUUCUGUUGGUGUCAGAAACAGCCAUGGGGUCGGUUCAUGGCCACAUUUCACAAAGACACGUGAAGUAGCGGUAAUUCGCCUCGAAAAGCAGGAGUAGGAACGGAGUGGAUUUUAGCCAAUAAGAGUCUCACACUCCCUUUCACUUUGCUCAAGGCGGGAGAAGCCAUUGGAUGAUCCCGCUAAAAAGCAAUGCUAUCUGAUAAACAUGAACGUUUUAAACUGCAUUCUCUAACUUAGCUGCUUCUCAAGAUUAUGUUAAACCCUCUUAACUUAAAAUAGCUUCACUAGAGGACUGACCGACAGACAGACGUUAUUAAUAUUAUUAUAUUUGCUUUGACGUUCAAAA